AUGGCCGGCAAGAUCCAUCAUGGCUCCCCUGCAACAGCUAUUUUUCCAUAUGUAGUGGUUGCAAAAUAUCUACUAUCCCCAGUUUACCAACUAGUGCUAUUGACCUCUGCAACAAAACCUGAACCAUCUUCUCUUGAAUUCCUCCAGCCUAACACACCCGUGAGAUCGCCUGACUACGACAACGACGUGCAAGGGACCCUCACCAUGGGUGUCGCGGACGAGUACGUGGGCGCCGUCAUCGGCUAUGCCGGGAGGACCAUACGUGAGAUCGAACGGGUUACGGGCGUGCAGAUCAGUAUCUCUAAGGGGGAGCUCAAAGCUGGGACGAGCGAGAGGGAGGUGGUGACCAGUGGGACAUGGAGGCGGUCGAUGCGGCGGAGGUGA
rnacentral:rRNA from 1 species